GUGGGGAAUAUUGGACAAUGGGCGAAAGCCUGAUCCAGCCAUGCCGCGUGUGUGAAGAAGGUCUUCGGAUUGUAAAGCACUUUAAGUUGGGAGGAAGGGCAGUAAGUUAAUACCUUGCUGUUUUGACGUUACCGACAGAAUAAGCACCGGCUAACUUCGUGCCAGCAGCCGCGGUAAUACGAAGGGUGCAAGCGUUAAUCGGAAUUACUGGGCGUAAAGCGCGCGUAGGUGGUUUUGUAAGUUGGAGGUGAAAUCCCCGGGCUCAACCUGGGAACUGCCUCCAAAACUGCAUGACUAGAGUACGGUAGAGGGUAGUGGAAUUUCCUGUGUAGCGGUGAAAUGCGUAGAUAUAGGAAGGAACACCAGUGGCGAAGGCGACUACCUGGACUGAUACUGACACUGAGGUGCGAAAGCUAGGGCAGCGAACGGGAUUAGAAACCCCUGUAGUCC
rnacentral:rRNA from 1 species